AUGAACCUCGGUUCUCGGCACCGGUUCCUCCCCCGCCGCUAGAUCCCGUUUCUCGGCACCGCACGUCUCCCCGAAACCGCCGCCACUAGCACACAAGUGUGAGGGGCUGAGGUCCAAACUCGUCGGCAGUUUGUACCCUAUCAACCAGCUGACCUGGAUUGGAGACGCAUUUGCGGCAUUGAAGCUCGGCGGCGGCAGGUUCCUACCCAUCCCUUGCAGCAGCGUCCAAUUUCUUUCCUCACCAGCUCCCCCUUCCAAUCCCGCUCGCCAGGACAUGAAUCGCAUUUGAGGCGUUGCUCCUCGAUGGCAGCAGCUUCCUAUCCCUCCCCUUCGGCGUGGAUUUAUUCGGAUUAAUGAGCUAUUCUCCCCCAUUGCAAGCGGCAAGAUAACUUUAGAGGAGAUUGGUAUGAACAAACAAGCUUGACUUUCGUUUCCAUCACAGAAGAUAUCCAAACAACCUGUCAGAUGAUGGCGAAGGCUGAAAUAUCUUGGGGGAGUGUAGAAAAUUCUUGUUAGCGUAAUGGUUAAUGUCUUUCCGAGAUAUUUAUUUGUAUGCCUGUAAUAUGAUCCUUCAUUACACAAGAUACGUAGAAUUUACCAUUCAGGUUAUCGCUAAGUUUAUUCAAGGAAAGAAAUGUGGCACCUGGUGUAUUGA